rnacentral:rRNA from 1 species
UACGAAGGGUGCAAGCGUUACUCGGAAUUACUGGGCGUAAAGCGUGCGUAGGUGGUUCGUUAAGUCUGCCGUGAAAGCCCCGGGCUCAACCUGGGAAUGGCGGUGGAUACUGGCGGACUAGAGUGCGGUAGAGGGUGGUGGAAUUCCCGGUGUAGCAGUGAAAUGCGUAGAGAUCGGGAGGAACAUCAGUGGCGAAGGCGACCCUCUGGACCAGCACUGACGCUGAGGCACGAAAGCGUGGGGAGCAAACAGG